rnacentral:misc_RNA from 1 species
AAGUCGUAACAAGGUUUCCGUAGGUGAACCUGCGGAAGGAUCAUUAUCGAGUUUUGACUGGGUUGUAGCUGGCCUUCCGAGGCAUGUGCACGCCCUGCUCAUCCACUCUACACCUGUGCACUUACUGUGGGUUUCAGAUGCCGUUAGCGGGCCUUCGCGGGCUUGUGAAAGCGUCUGGGCCUGCGUUUAUUACAAACUCUUAUCAGUAUCAGAAUGUGUAUCGCGAUGUAACGCAUCUAUAUACAACUUUCAGCAACGGAUCUCUUGGCUCUC